AUUGAACGCUGGCGGCAGGCCUAACACAUGCAAGUCGAACGGCAGCACAGAAGAGCUUGCUCUUUGGGUGGCGAGUGGCGGACGGGUGAGUAAUGUCUGGGAAACUGCCCGAUGGAGGGGGAUAACUACUGGAAACGGUAGCUAAUACCGCAUAACGUCGCAAGACCAAAGUGGGGGACCUUCGGGCCUCACACCAUCGGAUGUGCCCAGAUGGGAUUAGCUAGUGGGUGGGGUAAUGGCUCACCUAGGCGACGAUCCCUAGCUGGUCUGAGAGGAUGACCAGCCACACUGGAACGGAGACACGGUCGAGACUCGUACGGGAGGCAGCAGUGGGGAAUAUUGCACAAUGGGCGCAAGCCUGAUGCAGCCAGGCCGCGUGUAUGAAGAAGGCCUUCGGGUUGUAAAGUACUUUCAGCGGGGAGGAAGGCGGUGAGGUUAAUAACCUUGCCGAUUGACGUUACCCGCAGAAGAAGCACCGGCUAACUCCGUGCCAGCCGCCGCAGUAA
rnacentral:rRNA from 1 species